GGAAAAGAAACUAACAAGGAUUCCCCUAGUAACGGCGAGUGAAGCGGGAAGAGCUCAAAUUUAAAAUCUGGCAGGCUACGCUUGUCCGAAUUGUAAUCUCGAGAAGUGUUUUCCGCGUUGGCCUGUGUACAAGUCCCUUGGAACAGGGCGUCAUAGAGGGUGAGAAUCCCGUCCUUGACACAGACACCCAAUGCUUUGUGAUACACUCUCAAUGAGUCGAGUUGUUUGGGAAUGCAGCUCAAAAUGGGUGGUAAAUUCCAUCUAAAGCUAAAUACUGGCGAGAGACCGAUAGCGAACAAGUACCGUGAGGGAAAGAUGAAAAGCACUUUGGAAAGAGAGUCAAACAGUACGUGAAAUUGUUGAAAGGGAAACGAUUGAAGUCAGUCGUGCCUGCCUAGAUUCAGCCUUCUGGUGUAUUUCUAGGUCGGCAGGUCAGCAUCAGUUUGGGGGGGUUAACAAGGGAGCUGGGAAUGUGGCAACCUCGGUUGUGUUAUAGCCCAGUUUCGCAUUGAUCUCGCUGGACUGAGGAACGCAGUGCGCCCGCAAGGGUUGGUCUUCGGACACAUUCGCACUUAGGAUGCUGGCAUAAUGGCUUUAAACGAC
rnacentral:rRNA from 1 species